UACGAAGGGUGCAAGCGUUUAUUCGGAAUCACUGGGCGUAAAGGGUGUGUAGACGGUACAUUAAGUUCGUCGUUAAAGGCUCCGGCCUAACCGGAGUAUUGCGAUGAAAACUGGUGAGCUAGAGGGUGAGAGAGAGAAGUGGAAUUCCCGGAGUAGCGGUAAAAUGCGUGGAUCUCGGGGAGGAACACCAAUGGCGAAGGCAGCUUCUUGGCUCAUUCCUGACGUUGAGGCACGGAAAGCGUGGGGAGCAAACAGG
rnacentral:rRNA from 1 species